UUCUCCCCAAAAUGCGUUGAGAUGCAGCAGUUGACUGGACAUCUAGGGUAAAGCACUCUUUCGGUGCGGGCUGCGAGAGUGGUACCAAAUCGAGGCAAACUCUGAAUACUAGAUAUGACCUCCAAAUAAUAGGGGUCAAGGUCGGCCAGUGAAACGAUGGGGGAUAAGUUCAUCGUCGAAAGGGAAACAACUCGGAUCACCAGCUAAGGCCCCUAAAUGACCGCUCAAUGAUAAAAGAGGUAGGGGUGUAGAGACAGCCAAGAGGUUUGCCUAGAAGCAGCCACCCUUGAAAGAGUGCAUAAUAGCUCACUGAUCGAGCGCUCUUGAGCCGAAGAUGAACGAGGCUAAGCGAUCUGCCGAAGUUGUGGGAUGUAAAAAUACAUCGGUAGGGGAGUGUUCUGCCUUAGAGGGAAGCACCCGCGAGAGCAGGGGUGGACGAAGCGGAAGUG
rnacentral:ncRNA from 1 species